UUAACAAUAAUGCAUAUAUCUCACUGUACCGGGAUUAGUGUGUGCUUCACCUCACUGUGUGUUCACGGUGUGCUGAGUAUGUUUCACUCCGUGUGAUUCACGGAUUGGGAUAAAUGCAGA